rnacentral:lncRNA from 1 species
CUCCUGUCUAUGCCUCCCCAAUAUCUGGGAUUACAGGUAUGCACCACCACACCUGGCUGAAUAUACUUUUGUCCAAUGGGAGGGCUGGGAGGCCUUUAGAGUCUAAGCUUUCUCUUCUGCAAAAUGAGGUAGAUAAUAGUAACCUCACAGAGGGAGACAGGCAAAUAAACAGAUCCUUUUAUUACUAGAGUUUUUAGAAUAGGGGAUGCUUAGGUGCUUAUAAGCACAGGGGUGAGGGCACUAAACCUGAAGAGAGGGGUGUAUACAGAAAUCAUUUCCUGGGGAGAUGACACCUGCCAGUUACUAUUAGUGAAAUAAAAUAACUUUUGUUAUUUUAAAUUAUGUUGCAAUGAACAUCUCAUGUCUUUAUGUACAUAUCUGAAUUGUUGUAGGAUAAAUUCCUAAAAUAGAGUUGCUUUAUUAAAGUAUAUGCAUCUUUAAUUAAAUGCAAUUUAAUUAAAGAAUAUGCAUCUUUAAUCUUUAAUUUUAAUUACCAUAUAUCAACAGGAUAAACUAUGUAUAAACUAAAAUAAAUGUUA